UGCCGACAGCGACCGUUACGACUUUGUCAACUGUCUUUUAAAUUUACAAGCAGCGUCCAACAACCAAUACCCUUUUUCUAGAAAAUGGGACAAGUAAAUCAACAUUCCAGAAGUCCCUCGUAGGUUUGAAUUCAUGACUCUGUUCAAUGGAUAGUAGGUCAAUGGAAUGUCUUAGGGAUAAUUGGAAUAAGAAAAAUUCAACCUUUUUUUACUUUCUUGCUAAUUUAGUAUUGUAUUCGGUAAUGUUUCAGAGGAUGUUUUUACAAGAAAGAUGUAAAAACAUGAAACUUUUUGCUAAGAUUAUGUUCUGUUAUU